rnacentral:rRNA from 13 species
UGCCAGCAGCCGCGGUAAUACGAAAGGGGCUAGCGUUGUUCGGAUUUACUGGGCGUAAAGGGCACGCAGGCGGUCUUGCCAGUCAGGGGUGAAAGCCCGAGGCUCAACCUCGGAACUGCCUCUGAUACUGUAAGACUUGAGACUAGGAGAGGGUGGUGGAAUUCCCAGUGUAGAGGUGAAAUUCGUAGAUAUUGGGAGGAACACCAGAGGCGAAGGCGGCCACCUGGACUAGAUCUGACGCUCAGGUGCGAAAGCGUGCGGAGCAAACAGGAUUAGAU